rnacentral:rRNA from 1 species
AUUGAACGCUGGCGGCAGGCUUAACACAUGCAAGUCGAACGGAUCCUUCGGGAUUAGUGGCGCACGGGUGAGUAACGCGUGGGAAUGUACCCCUUGGUAAGGAAUAAUAUCUGGAAACGGAUACUAAUACCUUAUAAUGACUUUGGUCCAAAGAUUUAUCGCCAAGGGAUCAGCCCGCGUCUGAUUAGGUAGUUGGUGAGGUAACGGCUCACCAAGCCGACGAUCAGUAGCUGGUCUGAGAGGAUGAUCAGCCACACUGGGACUGAGACACGGCCCAGACUCCUACGGGAGGCAGCAGUGAGGAAUCUUGGACAAUGGGGGAAACCCUGAUCCAGCCAUGCCGCGUGAGUGAAGAAGGCCUUAGGGUUGUAAAGCUCUUUCAAUGGUGAAGAUAAUGACGGUAGCCAUAGAAUAAGCUCCGGCUAACUCCGUGCCAGCAGCCGCCGUAA